AACGAACGCUGGCGGCAUGCCUAACACAUGCAAGUCGAACGAGACCUUCGGGUCUAGUGGCGCACGGGUGCGUAACGCGUGGGAACCUGCCCUUAGGUUCGGAAUAACUCACCGAAAGGGGUGCUAAUACCGGAUAAUGUCUUCGGGCCAAAGAUUUAUCGCCUUUGGAUGGGCCCGCGUUGGAUUAGCUAGUUGGUAGGGUAAAAGCCUACCAUGGCGACGAUCCUUAGCUGGUCUGAGAGGAUGAUCAGCCACACUGGGACUGAGACACGGCCCAGACUCCUACGGGAGGCAGCAGUGGGGAAUAUUGGACAAUGGGCGAAAGUCUGAUCCAGCAAUGCCGCGUGAGUGAUGAAGGCCUUAGGGUUGUAAAGCUCUUUUACCCGGGAUGAUAAUGACAGUACCGGGAGAAUAAGCUCCGGCUAACUCCGUG
rnacentral:rRNA from 1 species